UACAUGGGGUGCAAACGUUGCUCGGAAUUAUUGGGCGUAAAGCGCACGUAGGCGGUUUGUUAAGUCGGAUGUGAAAUCCCUCGGCUCAACUGAGGAAGUGCAUCCGAAAACUGGCAGGCUUGAGUACUAAAGAGGGUCGCGGAAUUCCCGGUGUAGAGGUGAAAUUCGUAGAUAUCGGGAGGAACACCGGUGGCGAAGGCGGCGACCUGGGUAGAUACUGACGCUGAGGUGCGAAAGCGUGGGGAGCAAACAGGG
rnacentral:rRNA from 1 species